UACGUAGGGUGCAAGCGUUGUCCGGAAUUAUUGGGCGUAAAGAGCUCGUAGGCGGUUUGUCGCGUCGAAUGUGAAAACCCGGGGCUCAACCCCGGGCCUGCAUUCGAUACGGGCAGACUAGAGUUCGGUAGGGGAGUCUGGAAUUCCUGGUGUAGCGGUGAAAUGCGCAGAUAUCAGGAGGAACACCGGUGGCGAAGGCGGGACUCUGGGCCGAUACUGACGUGAGGAGCGAAAGCGUGGGGAGCAAACAGGAUUAGAUACC
rnacentral:rRNA from 1 species